rnacentral:rRNA from 1 species
CCUACGGGUGGCAGCAGUGAGGAAUAUUGGUCAAUGGGCGCAAGCCUGACCCAGCAACGCCGCGUGAAGGAAGAAGGCUUUCGGGUUGUAAACUUCUUUUCUCAGGGACGAAGCAAGUGACGGUACCUGAGGAAUAAGCCACGGCUAACUACGUGCCAGCAGCCGCGGUAAUACGUAGGUGGCAAGCGUUAUCCGGAUUUACUGGGUGUAAAGGGCGUGUAGGCGGGACUGCAAGUCAGAUGUGAAAACCACGGGCUCAACCUGUGGCCUGCAUUUGAAACUGGAGUGCUUGAGUACGAGAGAGGCAGACGGAAUUCCUAGUGUAGCGGUGAAAUGCGUAGAUAUUAGGAGGAACACCAGUGGCGAAGGCGGUCUGCGGGACAGCAACUGACGCUGAGGCGCGAAAGCGUGGGGAGCAAACAGGAUUAGAUACCCGAGUAGUC